rnacentral:rRNA from 1 species
CCACGCCGUAAACGAUGAGUGCUAGGUGUCGGGAGUCAAAUCUCGGUGCCGCAGUUAACGCAAUAAGCACUCCGCCUGGGGAGUACGUACGCAAGUAUGAAACUCAAAGGAAUUGACGGGGGCCCGCACAAGCGGCGGAGCAUGCGGAUUAAUUCGAUGCAACGCGAAGAACCUUACCAAGGCUUGACAUACACCGGGAUUGGCUAGAGAUAGUUGAGUCUUUGGACUGGUGUACAGGUGGUGCAUGGUUGU